rnacentral:rRNA from 1 species
UGCGUACCUUUUGUAUAAUGGGUCAGCGACUUAUAUUCUGUAGCAAGGUUAACCGAAUAGGGGAGCCGAAGGGAAACCGAGUCUUAACUGGGCGUUAAGUUGCAGGGUAUAGACCCGAAACCCGGUGAUCUAGCCAUGGGCAGGUUGAAGGUUGGGUAACACUAACUGGAGGACCGAACCGACUAAUGUUGAAAAAUUAGCGGAUGACUUGUGGCUGGGGGUGAAAGGCCAAUCAAACCGGGAGAUAGCUGGUUCUCCCCGAAAGCUAUUUAGGUAGCGCCUCGUGAAUUCAUCUCCGGGGGUAGAGCACUGUUUCGGCAAGGGGGUCAUCCCGACUUACCAACCCGAUGCAAACUGCGAAUACCGGAGAAUGUUAUCACGGGAGACACACGGCGGGUGCUAACGUCCGUCGUGAAGAGGGAAACAACCCAGACCGCCAGCUAAGGUCCCAAAGUCAUGGUUAAGUGGGAAACGAUGUGGGAAGGCCCAGACAGCCAGGAUGUUGGCUUAGAAGCAGCCAUCAUUUAAAGAAAGCGUAAUAGCUCACUGGUCGAGUCGGCCUGCGCGGAAGAUGUAACGGGGCUAAACCAUGCACCGAAGCUGCGGCAGCGACACUAUGUGUUGUUGGGUAG